AGCACUUGUGUGUGUUUUUGUUCAACUUGUGGAUAAAGACUUAUAGGCGGGUGCAAAAAAUAAAUUGUCUUUUGCAACCCAGAACUCAUUAUACAGUAUGUGUUUUGAUACAUAGAAGAAGGAAUAUG
rnacentral:snoRNA from 1 species